UGAAUUUAAAAAAAAAGCAUAAAAUAACAAGGGAAAAAAUGAAAAUUGAGGAAAAAAGUGUGAAUGUGUAUCACCAAUUAAUCACCUAAAAAUAAUAUAAUUUACGCGCUUCGACCACAACUCAUGUUGUCUACGUAGCGACAGCAUAGAGAGUAGAUGCACUAUUUUUACUCGGCCGACUCGUACAUCGUUGCUGUGAUGCCCACCCAAUGUGAUUUUCCGCGCGGAAUGGCACACAAUGAAUUAGAUAGAGGCAAAAAAAAACGAGAAAAAGAAAAUGUAUCACUCAAACACACACACACAUAUCGUUCAUCACACACUCGGACAACUCAACUCACAAAAUGUAUUAAAUGUUGGUUGGGUGUUCAUUCAACGGUGAAGAUAGAGCAAGGGAGAUAGAGUGAUAAAACAUAAACAUAGGCAAGUGAUUGAUGAGCAUUAUCAAGAGUUUGGUGGCGCUUAUGUGUUCAAUUUCGAACAAAGAAAAAAACUAACAAACAAAAAAUCCGAUUCAAAUCAAAGUCAUUUAUGUUUCAAUUCAUUUUUAUUUGCACAUUUUUAUUGGGCUAAAUAACGAUCAAUACAAUACAA